UAGGGAAUAUUAGUAAUGGGCGAAAGCCUGAACUAGCAACGCCGCGUGUGCGAAGAAGGCCUUCGGGUUGUAAAGCACUUUUUGAGAGGAUGAGGAAGGACGGUACUCUCAGAAUAAGUCUCGGCUAACUACGUGCCAGCAGCCGCGGUAACACGUAGGAGGCAGACGUUAUCCGGAUUUACUGGGCGUAAAGCGCGUGUAGGUGGUUUGGUAAGUAGGGCGUGAAAGCUCCUGGCUCAACUGGGAGAGGCCGUUCUAAACUGCCGAACUAGAGGAUGGUAGAGGGAGGUGGACUUCCGGGUGUAGCGGUGGAAUGCGCAGAUAUCCGGAGGAACACCAGUGGCGAAAGCGGCCUCCUGGACCAUUCCUGACACUCAGACGCGAAAGCUAGGGUAGCAAACGG
rnacentral:rRNA from 1 species